GAUGAACGCUAGCUACAGGCUUAACACAUGCAAGUCGAGGGGCAGCAUGAAGUCAGCUUGCUGACUUUGAUGGCGACCGGCGCACGGGUGAGUAACGCGUAUCCAACCUUCCCCUUACUCAGGAAUAGCCCGUUGAAAGACGGAUUAAUGCCUGAUGUUCUCUUUUUCCGGCAUCGGUAAUAGAGCAAAGAUUCAUCGGUAAGGGAUGGGGAUGCGUAUGAUUAGCUUGUUGGCGGGGUAACGGCCCACCAAGGCAACGAUCAUUAGGGGUUCUGAGAGGAAGGUCCCCCCACACUGGAACUGAGACACGGUCCAGACUCCUACGGGAGGCAGCAGUGAGGAAUAUUGGU
rnacentral:rRNA from 1 species